CACGUAGGGCGCAAGCGUUGUCCGGAAUUAUUGGGCGUAAAGAGCUCGUAGGCGGUCUGUCGCGUCCGCUGUGAAAACUCGGGGCUUAACCCCGAGCCUGCAGUGGAUACGGGCAGACUAGAGGUAGGUAGGGGAGAAUGGAAUUCCCGGUGUAGCGGUGAAAUGCGCAGAUAUCGGGAGGAACACCCGUAGCGAAGGCGGCACUCUGGGCCGUGACUGACGCUGAGGAGCGAAAGCGUGGGGAGCAAACAGG
rnacentral:rRNA from 1 species